CUGUUCGGCCUCGUUUCAGGUGCCUGUGUGGCAAAUUUUAAUUGCAGACACGGGAUAAUCGGGAAACAGGUAAGGCACAUUUUGUGAUGCUAUUCCUGUACUGCCCCCGCAACGGUAUGAAGUGUUUGUCGUACACCAACGCUAUGAGCAGCUGUUGGUCAAUGCAGACGAAUUGGUUUUUCAACCACGGCAAGAUCACAACCAUUGUGAUGUGCCGGAAGGUAAACCCGGAAUGUUCACAACGUUCUGACUUUGAGUCCGGAGACCGGCCUGUAACAACAUGAUUUC
rfam:Thalassolituus sp. HI0120 HI0120_c1260, whole genome shotgun sequence.